AACUAGUACCUUUAAACCACGCCCAUGUGAAUUCAUGUUCCUAUGUAGGGUCAGCCUGGGGACCCUGGAAAUAAAGGAACUAAUGGACCAGCAGGCCCGAGAGGACUUCCAGGCAACGAUGGCCCAGAUGGAUAUGGAGCUGCAGGACCUAAAGGACCAAAGGGUGACACUGGUUUUCCAGGUUACCCUGGACUUCAGGGUGAAACAGGAAAUCCUGGCACAAAGGGAGGUCAUGGCAAGAAAGGCAACAAGGGAAGAGGGGGGAAUGCAGGCAGGAGAGGAGAAGAGGGUGAUCCUGGCACUGAUGGACCAGAUGGACACAGGGUUAACAACCAUGCAUGACACUAUCUGAAUAUUUGGAUUAGAAAAUAUCACAAUCAAUUUGGUC
ensembl:lncRNA